rnacentral:rRNA from 1 species
CAAUAGCGUAUAUUAAAGUUGUUGCGGUUAAAAAGUUCGUAGUUGGAUUUCUGCCGAGGACAACCGGUCCGCCCUCUGGGUGAGCAUCUGGCUUGGCCUGGGCUUCUUCUUGGAUUGCGUUGCUGCUCUUCACUGAGCGGCUGCGAGGUCCAGGACUUUUACUUUGAGGAAAUUAGAGUGUUUCAAGCAGGCUUCCGCCUUGAAUACAUUAGCAUGGAAUAAUAACAUAGGACCUUGGUUCUAUUUUGUUGGUUUCUAGAGCUGGGGUAAUGAUAAAUAGGGAUAGUUGGGGGCAUUCGUAUUUAACUGUCAGAGGUGAAAUUCCUGGAUUUGUUAAAGACGGACUACUGCGAAAGCAUUUGCCAAGGAUGUUUNCAUUGA